GAACGCACAUUGCGCCCUUUGGUAUUCCAUAGGGCAUGCCUAUUCGAGCGUCAUUUUACCCUUCAAGCUCUGCUUGGUGUUGGGCGUCUGUUCUACUAUAUGUACGAACUCGCCUUAAAAUUAUUGGCAGCUGGUAUGUUGGCUUUAAGCGCAGCAGAAUUGCGUCUUCAAACCUAGCAAACUAGUAUCCAAAAGUUAUUUAAUCAUCUUGACCUCGGAUUAGGUAGGGAUACCCGCUGAACUUAAG
rnacentral:misc_RNA from 1 species